rnacentral:rRNA from 1 species
GAUGAACGCUGGCGGCGUGCUUAACACAUGCAAGUCGAACGAAGCACUUUAAUCGAUUUCUUCGGAUUGAAAUUUUAGUGACUGAGUGGCGGACGGGUGAGUAACGCGUGGGUAACCUGCCUCACACAGGGGGAUAACAGUUGGAAACGGCUGCUAAUACCGCAUAAGCGCACAGUACCGCAUGGUACAGUGUGAAAAACUCCGGUGGUGUGAGAUGGACCCGCGUCUGAUUAGCUAGUUGGCAGGGCAACGGCCUACCAAGGCGACGAUCAGUAGCCGACCUGAGAGGGUGACCGGCCACAUUGGGACUGAGACACGGCCCAAACUCCUACGGGAGGCAGCAGUGGGGAAUAUUGCACAAUGGGGGAAACCCUGAUGCAGCGACGCCGCGUGAGCGAAGAAGUAUUUCGGUAUGUAAAGCUCUAUCAGCAGGGAAGAAGAAAUGACGGU